AUUGAACGCUGGCGGAAUGCUUUACACAUGCAAGUCGAACGGCAGCACGGACUUCGGUCUGGUGGCGAGUGGCGAACGGGUGAGUAACAUAUCGGAACGUAUCCAAUAAUGGGGGAUAACUAAUCGAAAGGUUGGCUAAUACCGCAUACGCCCUACGGGGGAAAGCUAGGGACCUUCGGGCCUGGCGUUAAUGGAGCGGCCUAUCAGCUUGUUGGUGAGGUAAUGGCUCACCAAGGCGACGACGGGUAGCCGGCCUGAGAGGGCGACCGGCCACACUGGGACUGAGACACGGCCCAGACUCCUACGGGAGGCAGCAGUGGGGAAUAUUGGGCAAUGGAGGAAACUCUGACCCAGCGACGCCGCGUGC
rnacentral:rRNA from 1 species